rnacentral:pre_miRNA from 1 species
UUGCGAAUGACAGUGCAGUGCUCCCUCGGCAGAGCGGACGGCAGGCAUGCCUAAGUAGCCUGCUGAUCUGCCGAAGGAGAGCUGCCCUGCCAUUCCACA